GGCGGCGUGGAUAAGACAUGCAAGUCGAACGAAGAAUCUCAAUAGCUUGCUAAUGAGAUUCUUAUUGGCGGACGGGUUAGUAACACGUGAGAUACCUACCCUUUAGACAGGAAUAGCCCAUGGAAACGUGGAAUAAUACCUGAUAGUCUCUACGGAGUAAAUGAUGCCUUCGGGUGUCGCUAAAGGAUGGGCUCGCGGCCUAUCAGUUUGUUGGUGAGGUAAAGGCUCACCAAGACUACGACGGGUAGCUGGUCUGAGAGGACGAUCAGCAACACUGGAACUGAGACACGGUCCAGACACCUACGGGUGGCAGCAGUCGAGAAUCAUUCACAAUGGAGGAAACUCUGAUGGUGCAACGCCGCGUGGAGGAUGACGGCCCUAGGGGUGAAAACUCCUGUCAUUGGGGAGUAAGACUUAUGCGUUAAGAGCGUGUAAGUUUGAUAGUACCCAAAGAGGAAGGGACGGCUAACU
rnacentral:rRNA from 1 species